UGAGUAACACGUGGGCAAUCUGCCCUGCACUUCGGGAUAAGCCUGGGAAACUGGGUCUAAUACCGGAUAGGACCUUUAGACGCAUGUCUUUUGGUGGAAAGCUUUUGCGGUGUGGGAUGGGCCCGCGGCCUAUCAGCUUGUUGGUGGGGUGAUGGCCUACCAAGGCGACGACGGGUAGCCGGCCUGAGAGGGUGUCCGGCCACACUGGGACUGAGAUACGGCCCAGACUCCUACGGGAGGCAGCAGUGGGGAAUAUUGCACAAUGGGCGCAAGCCUGAUGCAGCGACGCCGCGUGGGGGAUGACGGCCUUCGGGUUGUAAACCUCUUUCACCAUCGACGAAGGUCCGGGUUUUCUCGGAUUGACGGUAGGUGGAGAAGAAGCACCGGCCAACUACGUGCCAGCAGCCGCGGUAAUACGUAGGGUGCGAGCGUUGUCCGGAAUUACUGGGCGUAAAGAGCUCGUAGGUGGUUUGUCGCGUUGUUCGUGAAAUCUCACGGCUUAACUGUGAGCGUGCGGGCGAUACGGGCAGACUAGAGUACUGCAGGGGAGACUGGAAUUCCUGGUGUAGCGGUGGAAUGCGCAGAUAUCAGGAGGAACACCGGUGGCGAAGGCGGGUCUCUGGGCAGUAACUGACGCUGAGGAGCGAAAGCGUGGGGAGCGAACAGGAUUAGAUACCCUGGUAGUCCACGCCGUAAACGGUGGGUACUAGGGUGUGGGUUUCCUUCCUUGGGAUCCGUGCCGUAGCUAACGCAUUAAGUACCCCGCCUGGGGGAGUACGGGCCGCAAGGCUAAAACUCAAAGGAAUUUGACGGGGGGCCCGCACAA
rnacentral:rRNA from 1 species